rnacentral:rRNA from 1 species
CCUACGGGUGGCAGCAGUGGGGAAUAUUGCACAAUGGGCGAGAGCCUGAUGCAGCAACGCCGCGUGAGCGAUGAAGGCCUUCGGGUCGUAAAGCUCUGUCCUCCAGGGAGAUAAUGACUGUACUUGAGGAGGAAGCCCCGGCAAACUACGUGCCAGCAGCCGCGAAAAUACGUCGGGGGCGAGCGUUAUCGGGAAUUACUGGGCGAAAAGGGGGCUUAGGUGGUUUCUUAAGUAAGAGGGGAAAGGCUACGGCUCAACCGUAGUAAGCCUUUGAAACUGGGAAACUUGAGUGCAGGAGAGGAGAGUGGAAUUCCUAGUGUAGCGGUGAAAUGCGUAGAUAUUAUGAGGAACACCAGUCGCGAAGGCGGCUCUCUGGACUGUAACUGACACUGAGGCACGAAAGUGUGGGGAGCAAACAGGAUUAGAUACCCGAGUAGUC